UUCCGGUUGAUCCUGCCGGACCUGACUGCUAUCGGAUUGAUACUAAGCCAUGCGAGUCAUUGUAGCAAUACAAGGCAUACGGCUCAGUAACGCGUAGUCAACCUAACCUAUGGACGGGAAUAACCUCGGGAAACUGAGAAUAAUGCCCGAUAGAACAUUAUACCUGGAAUGGUUUAUGUUCCAAAUGAUUUAUCGCCAUAGGAUGGGACUGCGGCCUAUCAGUUUGUUGGUGAGGUAAUGGCCCACCAAGACUAUUACAGGUACGGGCUCUGAGAGGAGUAGCCCGGAGAUGGGUACUGAGACACGGACCCAGGCCCUAUGGGGCGCAGCAGGCGAGAAAACUUUGCAAUGUGCGAAAGCACGACAAGGUUAAUCCGAGUGAUUUCUGCUAAAGAAAUCUUUUGUUAGUCCUAGAAACACUAACGAAUAAGGGGUGGGCAAGUUCUGGUGUCAGCCGCCGCGGUAAAACCAGCACCUCAAGUGGUCAGGAUGAUUAUUGGGCCUAAAGCAUCCGUAGCCGGCUCUGUAAGUUUUCGGUUAAAUCUGUACGCUCAACGUACAGGCUGCCGGGAAUACUGCAGAACUAGGGAGUGGGAGAGGUAGACGGUACUCGGUAGGAAGUGGUAAAAUGCUUUGAUCUAUCGAUGACCACCUGUGGCGAAGGCGGUCUACCAGAACACGUCCGACGGUGAGGGAUGAAAGCUGGGGGAGCAAACCGGAUUAGAUACCCGGGUAGUCCCAGCUGUAAACUAUGCAAACUCAGUGAUGCAUUGGCUUGUGGCCAAUGCAGUGCUGCAGGGAAGCCGUUAAGUUUGCCGCCUGGGAAGUACGUACGCAAGUAUGAAACUUAGAGGAAUUGGCGGGGGAGCACCACAAGGGGUGAAGCCUGCGGUUCAAUUGGACUCAACGCCGGGA
rnacentral:rRNA from 1 species